AUUGAACGCUGGCGGCAGGCCUAACACAUGCAAGUCGAACGGUAACAGGAAGAAGCUUGCUUCUUUGCUGACGAGUGGCGGACGGGUGAGUAAUGUCUGGGAAACUGCCUGAUGGAGGGGGAUAACUACUGGAAACGGUAGCUAAUACCGCAUAACGUCGCAAGACCAAAGAGGGGGACCUUCGGGCCUCUUGCCAUCGGAUGUGCCUAGAUGGGAUUAGCUAGUUGGUGGGGUAACGGCUCACCAAGGGGACGAUCCCUAGCUGGUCUGAGAGGAUGACCAGCCACACUGGAACUGAGACACGGUCCAGACUCCUACGGGAGGCAGCAGUGGGGAAUAUUGCACAAUGGGCGCAAGCCUGAUGCAGCCAUGCCGCGUGUAUGAAGAAGGCCUUCGGGUUGUAAAGUACUUUCAGCGGGGAGGAAGGGAGUAAAGUUAAUACCUUUGCUCAUUGACGUUACCCGCAGAAGAAGCACCGGCUAACUCCGUGCCAGCCGCCGCGGUAA
rnacentral:rRNA from 1 species